rnacentral:lncRNA from 1 species
GGCAGAUUGAUAUAUAAACGAGAGAAAGAUAGGUCGAUGAAUCUAGAAAUAAUUUGAAAAUGCCAAUAUAUAGAGACAGUCUAAAGAAUAAAAGGAAGAAUGAGCUCGUAAUAAUCAAGAUGUCAAGGUAAGAAAACUAAAGAAUAAAAAGAGGUUUUGUCAUCCCGUAGUCGCAGUUUCACGUCUUGACGUCUCAGAAGUAUGAAAUGUCUUCUGUUGAUUGAGAAUCUUGAGAUACUACAUCAUCUUGUUCUGAGUCUAGUUCCACAUCAAGAACAUCAUGUAAGGCAGCCCAAAAGACCGCAUCAAUUUCUUUAUGUCAUAGUUUUUUUCACUUAAUGAUUUGGAAGGAGGUACGUGUCUAGUUUUUUGUUUUCUUAUUUUUUUUUGUCUAAUUUCCUUUUAUUUUGAAUAGGAAUAAGUAAAU